rnacentral:rRNA from 1 species
CCUUGUACACACCGCCCGUCACGUCAUGGGAGCCUGGGGUGCCCGAAGUCGCCAUAUUUCAAUGGUGCCUACGGCAAGACAGGUGACUGGGACG